rnacentral:misc_RNA from 1 species
GAUGAAGAACGUAGCGAAAUGCGAUAAGUAAUGUGAAUUGCAGAAUUCAGUGAAUCAUCGAAUCUUUGAACGCAUCUUGCGCUCCUUGGUAUUCUGAGGAGCAUGCCUGUUUGAGUGUCAUUAAAUUCUCGACCGCACUGACUUUGAAUUGGUGUGGCUUGGAUUUGGGGGGAAAAUUGUUGUGGGCUUUUUUGUAUAGUCUGCUCCCCUGAAAUUGAUUAGCGGUACCUUUGUGGAACUGUCUACAGGUGUGAUAAUUAUCUACAUCCUAGACAUCUGCUGGAAUGCUGCUUUCUAAACCUUACUUGUAUUGACAAUCUUGACCUCAAAUCAGGUAGGACUACCCGCUGAACUUAAGCAUAUCAAUAAGCGGAGGA